UAGUUCAGCUGGUUAGAAUGCCUGCCUGUCACGCAGGAGGUCGCGGGUUCGAGUCCCGU
rnacentral:tRNA from 1 species